UACGGGGGGGGCAAGCGUUGUUCGGAAUUACUGGGCGUAAAGGGCUCGUAGGCGGCCAACUAAGUCCGACGUGAAAUCCUAAGGCUUAACCUUGGAACUGCGUCGGAUACUGGAUGGCUUGAAUUCGGGAGAGGGAUGCAGAAUUCCAGGUGUAGCGGUGAAAUGCGUAGAUAUCUGGAGGAAUACCGGUGGCGAAGGCGGCAUCCUGGACCGACAUUGACGCUGAUGAGCGAAAGCUAGGGGAGCAAACGGG
rnacentral:rRNA from 1 species